rnacentral:rRNA from 1 species
UCCGCCAAACGGUGGUAACAUGUGGUUUAUUCGAAGCAACGCGAAGAACUACACGGGGUCUUGACAUCCUCUGACAAUCCUAGAGAUAGGACGUCCCCUUCGGGGGCAGAGUGACAGGUGGUGCAUGGUUGUCGUCAGCUCGUGUCGUGAGAUGUUGGGUUAAGUCCCGCAACGAGCGCAACCCUUGAUCUUAGUUGCCAGCAUUCAGUUGGGCACUCUAAGGUGACUGCCGGUGACAAACCGGAGGAAGGUGGGGAUGACGUCAAAUCAUCAUGCCCCUUAUGACCUGGGCUACACACGUGCUACAAUGGACAGAACAAAGGGCAGCGAAACCGCGAGGUUAAGCCAAUCCCACAAAUCUGUUCUCAGUUCGGAUCGCAGUCUGCAACUCGACUGCGUGAAGCUGGAAUCGCUAGUAAUCGCGGAUCAGCAUGCCGCGGUGAAUACGUUCCCGGGCCUUGUACACACCGCCCGUCACACCACGAGAGUUUGUAACACCCGAAGUCGGUGAGGUAACCUUUUAGGAGCCAGCCGCCGAAGGUGGGACAGAUGAUUGGGGUGAAGUCGUAACAAGGUAGCCGUA